GAUGAAGAACGCAGCGAAAUGCGAUAAGUAAUGCGAAUUGCAGAAUUCAGUGAAUCAUCGAAUCUUUGAACGCACCUUGCGCCCUUUGGCCAUUCCGAAGGGCAUGCCUGUUUGAGUAUCAUGAACACCUCAACUCUUCAUGGUUUUCCAUGAUGAGCUUGGACUUUGGGGGUCUUGCUGGCCUGUGGGUCGGCUCCUCUCAAAUGAAUCAGCUUGCCGGUUUUUGGUGGGCAUCACAGGUGUGAUAACUAUCUACGCUUGUGGUUUUCCACCAGGGUAACCUUCAGCAGUGGAGGUUCACUGGAGCUUACAAAUGUCUCUCCUCUGUGAGGACAGCCCUUUGAAUGUUUGAUCUCAAAUCAGGUAGGACUACCCGCUGAACUUAAGCAUAUCAAUAAGCGGAGGA
rnacentral:misc_RNA from 1 species